rnacentral:rRNA from 1 species
CCUACGGGUGGCAGCAGUGGGGAAUAUUGGACAAUGGGGACAACCCUGAUCCAGCCAUGCCGCGUGUGUGAAGAAGGCCCUCGGGUGGUAAAGCACUUUCAGUGAGGAAGAACGCCUGGUGGUUAAUACCCAUCAGGAAAGACAUCACUCACAGAAGAAGCACCGGCUAACUCCGUGCCAGCAGCCGCGGUAAUACGGAGGGUGCGAGCGUUAAUCGGAAUUACUGGGCGUAAAGCGCGCGUAGGUGGCUUGAUAAGCCGGUUGUGAAAGCCCCGGGCUCAACCUGGGAACGGCAUCCGGAACUGUCAAGCUAGAGUGCAGGAGAGGAAGGUAGAAUUCCCGGUGUAGCGGUGAAAUGCGUAGAGAUCGGGAGGAAUACCAGUGGCGAAGGCGGCCUUCUGGACUGACACUGACACUGAGGUGCGAAAGCGUGGGUAGCAAACAGGAUUAGAUACCCCGGUAGUC